rnacentral:rRNA from 1 species
CCUACGGGUGGCAGCAGUGAGGAAUAUUGGUCAAUGGACGAGAGUCUGAACCAGCCAAGUAGCGUGAAGGAUGACUGCCCUGUGGGUUGUAAACUUCUUUUAUAUGGGAAUAAAAUGUUCCACGUGUGGGGUUUUGUAUGUACCCUAUGAAUAAGGAUCGGCUAACUCCGUGCCAGCAGCCGCGGUAAUACGGAGGAUCCGAGCGUUAUCCGGAUUUAUUGGGUUUAAAGGGUGCGUAGGUGGGUGGUUAAGUCAGGUGUGAAAGUUUGCGGCUCAACCGGAAGAUGGCAGUUGAAACUGGCAGUCUAGAGUACAGUAGAGGUGGGCGGAAUUCGUGGUGUGGCGGUGAAAUGCUUAGAUAUCACGAAGAACUCCGAUUGCGAAGGCAGUUCACUGGACUGCAACUGACACUGAGGCUCGAAAGUGUGGGUAUCAAACAGGAUUAGAUACCCCUGUAGUC